CAGGAGAGUGCAACAUCUGUCCACUUUAAUUAUACGUUGCCUUUAAUCAACGGAAGCAACCAUAGUGGGCUGCUUUACGUGUGUGUGGCUUUGUGUUCUCUCAUGAAACUCAGCCCGAUAAUGACUUCAAAAGCUUGAGAUGCAGUAGUUGACGUGAGAAAACUAUUCGUUGGGUUUCGAUCGCGUCGUUUGAUCUUCUAGAAUGGUGUAUAAGACGAAUCGUUAUGAAGCAUCUCUGAUCGAGUUUCAGUGGCGUCGUUUUGUAUGAGAUUAGGAGGACACAGGAGCUUGCCAUCUUCCAUCAACACAUACUGCAAGGAGAACAUGACACCUGUCAUCUCCCUUUUUUUUUACGCUUUAGUUGUGGUUUUGGAUGGGCUCGAACGCAAGAGAGAUUUGUAUUUGGGGUUGAUACGUUUAGAAGGUUGGCCCGUUAAGCAUAGUUACCCUCAAAGCGUGUAACCACAACAUAAAAAUAUAAUGGUUGCACAAACAUACAUCCAUAUUGAUGUGUUUAAUUUGUAAUAUAUAACAUUUAUUAUAGAUCGACGGUUUUUAAUUGUCUAUAAUUCACUGAUUUUUCAUAUUGUGAUUGGAUAUAAUAUCAAUAAAAUAAAAUAUUAUAUAAUAUAUUCUUCAAUUAAUAAUUUUUAACUGCAGUAACCAUUUUUGAUUUAUUAAUCUACAAAUUAGAACACUAAUUAUUAUGUUUAUGUAUACUAGGGAUUGGCCCGCCCUACGGGCGGAUGAGUUUACAUUAAAACUAUUUAUAUUUAAAUAUAUUUUAAUUUUAUAAAACAUUGAAACUUUAUUUUAUAUUAAAAAUAAUAAAUAUAAUAUAUUUUAUCCUAAGAUCAUUUUUUUAACUAUCAAAAGAAUGUUAUGUAAAAAUCAGACAUUUUUAAGAACUGAAAAACUGUUCUAUAGAUGUAAAUCUCAUAAGUUGUUACUUCAAACCAUCUUCUUAAUAACUCUUCCAACUUAUGAUUUGGCUUGUACUUGAGUGAACUAAUCAUAAUCAUGUUCUUCAUUGCCUUGUUUAUUAGCCCUCACAUAUUGUCUUUAGAAGUUCUCGGCUUCUUGUUUAUUAGUCCUCGCAUAUUGUAAAUUUUAUUUUGUUGGAUUGAGUUGAAAAAACCACUAACAAUAUUUUUGUUAGAGAACGCAAAAUUAUUAAAUAAAAAAUUAAGAAAAAUAAAAUGAUUUAUAUUUUUUAUUUGAUUUCUAUUUCAAUUUCAUAUAGUUGAAAAAAUAUAAAGUAAGAAUAGCUACAUUUUUUCCAAGAGUAUCAUAUUUUUCAAUAACUAAUUUCAUAUAGUUGAAAAAAUAUAAAGUAAUAAUUUCAUAUUAUUACAAUAACUAAUUUUUUCACAAUAAUAAAUUAAUACACCAACUC